CUAAAGCUCCAGAGGAAGCCACGGCUAACUCUGUGCCAGCAGCCGCGGUAAUACAGAGGCGGCAAGCGUUGUUCGGAAUUAUUGGGCGUAAAGAGCACGUAGGCGGCUCUGUAGGUCAGCUGUGAAAGCCUUCUGCUUAACGGAAGAACAGCAGUUGAAACUACAGUGCUUGAGUGCGGGAGGGGAGAGUGGAACUUCUGGUGGAGCGGUGAAAUGCGUAGAUAUCAGAAGGAACGCCGGCGGCGAAAGCGGCUCUCUGGCCCGUAACUGACGCUGAGUGUGCGAAAGCUAGGGGAGCAAACGGGAUUAGAUGCCCCGGUAGUCCUAGCCGUAAA
rnacentral:rRNA from 1 species